GGAGGGUUGGCUGAGUGGUCGAAAGCACCGGUCUUGAAAACCGGCAGGGGUGUAAGCCCCUCCAGGGUUCGAAUCCCUGAUCCUCCG
rnacentral:tRNA from 1 species